rnacentral:rRNA from 1 species
ACAUUGGAACUGAGAAACGGUCCAAACUCCUACGGGAGGCAGCAGUGGGGAAUAUUGCACAAUGGGGGAAACCCUGAUGCAGCGACGCCGCGUGAGCGAUGAAGGCUUUCGAGUCGUAAAGCUCUGUCCUAUGGGAAGAUAAUGACGGUACCAUAGAAGAAAGCCCCGGCUAAUUACGUGCCAGCAGCCGCGGUAAUACGUAAGGGGCGAGCGUUGUCCGGAAUUAUUGGGCGUAAAGAGUGCGUAGGCGGCAAAUUAAGUCAGAUGUGAAAACUAAGGGCUCAACCCAUAGAUUGCAUCUGAAACUGAUAUGCUUGAGUCAAGGAGAGGAAAGUGGAAUUCCUAGUGUAGCGGUGGAAUGCGUAGAUAUUAGGAGGAAUACCGGUGGCGAAGGCGACUUUCUGGACUUGAACUGACGCUGAGGCACGAAAGCGUGGGGAGCAAACAGGAUUAGAUACCCUGGUAGUCCACGCCGUAAACGAUGAGUGCUAGGUGUCUGCUCAUAAGAGUAGGUGCCGUACGUUAACACAUUAAGCACUCCGCCUGGGGAGUACGUACGCAAGUAUGAAACUCAAAGGAAUUGACGGGGACCCGCACAAGCAGCGGAGCAUGUGGUUUAAUUCGAGGCUACGCGAAGAACCUUACCAGGACUUGACAUACCAAGGAAAGUUUUUAGAGAUAAAAACCCUAGAUUUAUCUACCUUGGAUACAGGUGGUGCAUGGUUGUCGUCAGCUCGUGUCGUGAGAUGUUGGGUUAAGUCCCGCAACGAGCGCAACCCUUACAUUUAGUUACUAACAGGUAGUGCUGAGGACUCUAGAUGGACUGCCGAUGACAAAUCGGAGGAAGGUGGGGAUGACGUCAAAUCAUCAUGCCCUUUAUGUCCUGGGCUACACACGUGCUACAAUGGUCGGUACAAAGAGAAGCUAAAUAGCGAUAUCAAGCAAACCUCAAAAAACCGAUCCCAGUUCGGAUUGAUCUCUGCAACUCGAGAUCAUGAAGCCGGAGUUGCUAGUAAUCGCAGAUCAGAAUGCUGCGGUGAAUGCGUUCCCGGGUCUUGUACACACCGCCCGUCACACCAUGGGAGUAGGCAAUACCCGAAGCCUGUGAGCUAACCAUUUGGAGGCAGCAGUCGAAGGUAGGGUCAAUGACUGGGGUGAAGUCGUAACAAGGUAGCCGUAUCGGAAGGUGCGGCUG